rnacentral:rRNA from 1 species
CGUAGGGAGCAAGCGUUGUUCGGAUUUACUGGGCGUAAAGGGCGCGUAGGCGGCGCGGUAAGUCACUUGUGAAAUCUCUGAGCUUAACUCAGAACGGCCAAGUGAUACUGCAGUGCUAGAGUGCAGAAGGGGCAAUCGGAAUUCUUGGUGUAGCGGUGAAAUGCGUAGAUAUCAAGAGGAACACCUGAGGUGAAGACGGGUUGCUGGGCUGACACUGACGCUGAGGCGCGAAAGCCAGGGGAGCAAACGGGAUUAGAUACCCCGGUAGUCCUGGCCCUAAACGAUGAAUACUUGGUGUCUGGAGUCAUUAUUGCUCCGGGUGCCGUCGCUAACGUUUUAAGUAUUCCGCCUGGGGAGUACGCUCGCAAGAGUG